UGGGGAAUAUUGGACAAUGGGGGCAACCCUGAUCCAGCAAUGCCGCGUGGGUGAAGAAGGUCUUCGGAUUGUAAAGCCCUUUCGGCGGGGACGAUGAUGACGGUACCCGCAGAAGAAGCCCCGGCUAACUUCGUGCCAGCAGCCGCGGUAAUACGAAGGGGGCUAGCGUUGCUCGGAAUUACUGGGCGUAAAGGGCGCGUAGGCGGUUGACCAAGUCAGGCGUGAAAUCCCCGGGCUCAACCUGGGGGCUGCGCUUGAGACUGGUUGGCUAGAGGACGGAAGAGGGCGGUGGAAUUCCCAGUGUAGAGGUGAAAUUCGUAGAUAUUGGGAAGAACACCAGUGGCGAAGGCGGCCGCCUGGUCCGUUACUGACGCUGAGGCGCGACAGCGUGGGGAGCAAACAG
rnacentral:rRNA from 1 species